rnacentral:rRNA from 1 species
UGCAGUCGGACGGGAUUGAGGAGCUUGCUUCUCAUGAGAGUGGCGCACGGGUGCGCAACACGUAUGUAACCUACCUUGUUCAGGGGGAUAGCCUCUCGAAAGAGAGAUUAACACCGCGAUAAAAUCAAUUUAUGGCAUCAUAGAAUGAUCAAAUAUUUAUAGGAACAAGAUGGGCAUGCGGAACAUUAGCUAGUUGGUAAGGUAACGGCUUACCAAGGCUACGAUGUUUAGGGGAUCUGAGAGGAUGACCCCCCACACUGGUACUGAGACACGGACCAGACUCCUACGGGAGGCAGCAGUAAGGAAUAUUGGUCAAUGGACGCAAGUCUGAACCAGCCAUGCCGCGUGCAGGAAGACGGCCCUACGGGUUGUAAACUGCUUUUGUACCGGAAUAAACCUUUUCACGUGUGAGAAGCUGAAUGUACGGUAAGAAUAAGGAUCGGCUAACUCCGUGCCAGCAGCCGCGGUAAUACGGAGGAUCCAAGCGUUAUCCGGAUUUAUUGGGUUUAAAGGGUGCGUAGGUGGCCUAUUAAGUCAGGGGUGAAAGACGGUAGCUUAACUAUCGCAGUGCCUUUGAUACUGAUGGGCUUGAAUACACUUGAGGUAGGCGGAAUGUGACAAGUAGCGGUGAAAUGCAUAGAUAUGUCACAGAACACCAAUUGCGAAGGCAGCUUACUAAAGUGUUAUUGAC